UCUGCUUUGGGUGGCCACACGU
rnacentral:siRNA from 1 species